rnacentral:rRNA from 1 species
CAGCAGCCACGGGAAUACGUAGGGUGCAAGCGUUAAUCGGAAUUACUGGGCGUAAAGCGUGCGCAGGCGGUUCGUUAAGACAGAUGUGAAAUCCCCGGGCUUAACCUGGGAACUGCAUUUGUGACUGGCGGGCUAGAGUAUGGCAGAGGGGGGUAGAGUUCCACGUGUAGCAGUGAAAUGCGUAGAGAUGUGGAGGAAUACCGAUGGCGAAGGCAGCCCCCUGGGCCAAUACUGACGCUCAUGCACGAAAGCGUGGGGAGCAAACAGGAUUAGAUACCCCUGUAGUCCCUGUCUCUUAUAC